rnacentral:rRNA from 1 species
UACGGGGGGGGCUAGCGUUGUUCGGAAUUACUGGGCGUAAAGGGCGCGUAGGCGGUCUACUAAGUUGGAUGUGAAAACUCUGGGCUUAACCCAGAGCCUGCAUUCAAAACUGAUAGGCUAGAGUUCUGGAGGGGAUAGCGGAAUUCCUGGUGUAGCGGUGAAAUGCGUAGAUAUCAGGAGGAACACCGGUGGCGAAGGCGGCUAUCUGGACAGAAACUGACGCUGAGGCGACGAAAGCUAGGGGAGCAAACAGG